rnacentral:lncRNA from 1 species
UUGAAAUCAGCUAAGAGAGAAGUACUUCAAUGUUCACACACACACAAAGUCAAUACGUGAGGUGAAAAAAUAUUGGAGGUUAGUACAGAGGAGAAUCAGGGCAUGAAUCCCUGGGAACAAGCCCAAAUUGCCAGGAGAACUUCAGACUUUCAAAGGCCAUGAGAUAGGUGGGUUGAAAGCAAGAAUCCAGGAGACGCAAGGAACCGGGUGACAUCUGUCUUCCAGGUGGAAGGAAUAGAAAACUACCCAAGGUCUAGAAGGCCCAGGAGGGUGGAGGGAGGCAGUUGUAGGCCAGUUGGUGGGGGAGGAGCUGUGGUCCAAUCUUCUUCCCUGCUGUCCCCUCCCCCCCUCAGGAGCCCUUGUGACAUGGCCACAGUUCCAUGAUGAGGGCAUGGGGUUCUAAUCUCCAAGUCAAUCCCAGUCCUCAGUUGCCUGAGAGUAGAACUGUAUUUGAGAUAUGGAAAUGCCUAUCUUAUAUAUAAAAAGCAUUGUUGUUACCUGGCUGAGCUCCAGUUCCGCUUCCUUGGUGAUUGGGACCAUCCUCCACAUCCUGUGUGGACUGGGGCUCUUCCUCCUGUUCCUUCCCUCCCUCCAGAGGAAUUUGCCCUUACAACCACCUUACAAAAGGAGAAACGUCAGGAAGCGUCAAAUGAAGCUGAGAGGGAGGAGCAGCAGGAGCAGGAAGAAAAAGGGAGCUUUGAAAGGUAAGCUUCUGCCUUUCAGCCCUGUGCCCCAGAGCUGGCCUCCAUCUCCUGUCCCUGAGCGCCCAGCUCCAUGGGCUCGAGGAUGCCAGGGGCAGAGCCUGUCCCUCAGGAAACAGAGCCCUCAGGGAAGCUCCCAGGAAGGAGAUGAAAACCUGAGUACUUGCUAGAUUCUGUGCUGGGAACUAAGGCCCAGGCCAGCAGGCAUCUGGAACAGGGUGUUGAUCAGCAGGGGCAUGUGGGCUGUGGUGGAGGUUGAAGCACUUGGUCAGUGACAAACCUCAACCCUCCAGCAGCCUUGCCAUCCCCAUCAGGGAUCCCGUGGCCUUAGACACUAGUGUCUGGGCUCCAGAGUCUGACCUCAAACACUCUCCCCUAAAGGCACAUUGCACGCAGCAUCCUGUAAGAGCCCUAGGCCCCUGCCUUCAUUGCUGUGACCCAGUGUCCUAAUCUCUAGCUUAUAGAGCUGGCCGGAAGGACCUGGCAGAAGUGGGGGGCCUGAUGUCCCUUUUGCAAAGGUAAGGAAUCUUGCCCUUCUCUCCUGUGCUUCUUCCUCACAGAGUCUCUGAUGUACCCCAGGGCUACAGGAAGUUUGGGGCUGAGCUGGGAGGGGAGCCAUGGGGCAGGGGCUGGCAAGAGGCCUGGGAUGAGGGACAGCAGGAGAAUUCGGUGAAGUGAAGGUAAGGCCAGGGAGGGCCAUGGGUCUCAAGCGGCCUCCCCCCCCGGCCAACGCUGCAGUCCCAGGGCCCUCUGCUCAUGGCUACAGCUUGUGCAUCUUGUUUCCCACAGCUCCCCGGGGAGGCUGUCUUGUAAGGGAUGCUUCCAUCUCUUGUCAUCUCAAGAUUCCCCUGGGGAGGCAUGCAAGACAGCAUCUGCUAGAGUUCACCAGCCAUGCGGGAAGACUGUGGAAGGUGCUCCUCUCACCAUGAAUCCAGCACUUUCCCUGGCUCUUCUGACCAGCCCACUCUACCUUUGGCCUCCACUCUGCCAGCAGAACCUGCAUCUGCCUUGACCAGAACUCCACUAGGCCCUUUUUCCACGAGCUCAGCUCUAGCUCACUCCUGUUUCCCAUCUACCAACUCAGGCCACAGCCCCACGAGCUGUCGCAUUGCGUUCCUCAGCAAAUCUAUGAAUUAUCCUUUUGUUGGUUUGAGUCAAGGGUGGAGGAAAUGCCCUGUAGAAAGUUCCAACCAUGCCAGGUCUUCGUUUUCUUACUGGACAUGGGCUAGUUUAGGAGCAUCAUGUGAUGGAGCAUAAAGGGUGGACUUUGAGGACAACCGGGUCUGGGGUUGAACGAAAGCUUAGCCAUUCGUGAACUGCCUGAUCUAAGACAUGUUCUUAACCAUUCUGAAUUUCAGUUUCUCAAUCCGGGUAAAGAGAAUAAUAAGAUUUACCAGUAGGAGUUAUAGGACUUAGUUUCUUUUCUGGUUCUCUGAUCUACUCUCUAAUUUUUGCAAGUCAUGUGACCUCUUCAGACCUACCUAUCUUUGAGCGAAAAUGAAGGUCUUAUUGGUUCUCCAAAGGAAUAUGAUUUUGUCCCACCCGGGGGCAUCUGAAAGUGUGUGUGGUGUUUUUUGAUUGUCAUGAAACUAAGGGAAUCAAGAACGUAAAGUGCUCUGUAAGGGGGAGGACAGUCCCAUACAACAGAGAAUUGUUCCAUCAGAAAAUCAACGUAGCCCUGUUGUGAAACCCAAUUAGAACAUCUCUGAAGUCUUUGUCACCUUAACAUUUCAUCAUUUUACUCUAUGUCAUUGUUUCCUUACAAUUAUGAUGGAUGAACUAGAUAACUAAAUGCUAUGAGCCACCCUGCCACACAUGAGCAUGUUUAUCAAAAUGAAGGAUGGUGGAAUAAAGAACUGGCUUUUUUUGGGUUGGAGUAAAGG